rnacentral:sRNA from 1 species
AGUUGGUGAGUUGUUCUUGUUCUUGCGCCGUCCUGCUCCGAUUGGAA